rnacentral:lncRNA from 1 species
UGGGGAGGCUCUCUCGGACGGAGAGGGUGCGGAGGGACAGAAAGUGGAACUAGACAAGGUGGGUGUCUUCCCCCAGCAGUUGCGGCCGGAGAUAGGGGCGGAUGAAGAGCUUAGAGUGGACACCGCCAGAGGCAGGGGCAUUGGAGACAGCCGAGGAUGGUGAGCUAGCACUUGAUGGAGUCACCGAGAGGGCAACAUGCGGAUGGAGAGAAGGCGAUGGGCGUAGCACCAUCGAACUCCCCCAUCGCCGCGGUCCUCAUGUACGACGGGCUAGAGUCUAGAGAGAGGAAGACGGCGGAUUGGGAUGCGAAACAUGGUAGAAUUACAAAGCACGUAACCUAUUCAAUGAAAUGCUCCAGAGAGAUGCCAUCUUGGAGUUCUAUGCAUGCCUCGCGAUUUUACAGUGCGACCUCUUUAAAAGGCCUUCAGGCGUUAUAUCUCAACCCAGCUCCCACCCUCCCUCCCUCAAGAUCCCUCUCUCCUCACCCUCUCCCUCCUCUUCAUUGUUGGAGUUUUAACUUGAAAAAAA